rnacentral:lncRNA from 1 species
CUCGAUAAAAAGUUGAAUUUAGGGUACUUACUGGUUUUGAAUUUUAGGUAAUCUCUUGGAUUGUUACAGAAUAAUCAAAGUUGGCAAGAAUGAGAAAGGAAUUCACUUACGUUUUCUUUGUGCAACUAUAUAUUACUCUUUGACUGAAGUGAAUUUUCAUAGCCUUACCUACAUUUGUGUCAUUGUGUGCGAGUGUGUGUGUGUGUUUCUUUGCAAAGGCCAUUUCUCCCACUUACAUUUUUCAUUCUUAAUCUGGAUAGACGUCUAUCCAGAUUAUGUCACCAUGUGGUUUUUCAGGAACAGACAUAUACGACAAUUAUAGAUCGUUUAAAACCAAUAAUGUUGUUUAGGUCGAUAAUCCUAUACUUCUUAAAUUGUUGGCUGUCAAUACCAGAUUUCAACCUCAGUUCAGUUAUAAUGAGAACGAGUCAUCACAAUUAGUGCUCCCACUGAAUUUUCUCAACUCCCGUCCAAUUACAAUAUACAACUUUGAAGGUUCAGUUCUGCAUUUAUCUUGUACUCGAUAAAUUUGUAAUGGCUCUUUAUUGUUUUGCAGGGAGAGAAUUUGACUAUGUAGCACAACACCGAAAUCUGAGUGAACAGUGAACACAAACACAUUCUGAAAUGAGACAAGGUACUUGCGUUGUUGUUUUAUUCAAAAAAUAUCUAUUUAGGACGAAGGCUUCAAAUUUCAUUGUUUUUCAAUAGACUUGAUUAAGUUUGUCAACUAUUUGGUCGUUGAUGGUCUUAAUCCACAGUAUUUGAUGUUUGCCAAUUUCGAGGACUAUUGAUAUCAUGUUAGGACACUUAGGUCUAUACUGAAUUAAAUAAACAUUGUCCAAAUCCUUUUUCUUAUACGUUCUAUUGGACAAAUAAGAUCAUAGUACCUUUCUGCACCUAACAUUUCAAAACCAUUCUCUCAACCACUAUUUAGUUGUAUUUAGGCUUUUACAAUUAUUUAUCUCUCAAAUGAGGUUUAAUUGUAAUUACUGAUUUACAAUUGUUCCUUUAUUUUGAUUUCUUCAUCGGAUGGAGUUUUUCUCUGUGUUGUGAGCUUUCCAUUGAUAUUUAUUAUUCAUCGAAAUAGUGAUAUUUCUCUCCCAAAUUUUAAAUUGCAAAUAUUAUCCACUAAUAGUGAUCGACAACAAAUAAAAUAUUUUUGAGGCAUGGUUUUAUUUAGUGGAAUUUUUCCUUUUACUAAGAACGUUUUUUUAUAGAGCCUUCCACAUCUGUUCUCGGAAACAUAACAAAUCAACAUACCUAUUCCUCUGCUGCUGUGGUUUGAUUUCAUUAGCUUGCUGCUGCUGUGGUUUGACUUCUCUCUUUGGCAUUUUUACUAAGGUUAGUUCGACUUUUCUUUUUUCUUAGUUUGUAGGUUGUGGAUUGAUAAAUCAGUGUCUUUACCAGGGAUUACUAAAUAUGUUGGAUUGGUACUACCAAUCCAUUCUUGAAUGAUUCGUGAUUGUCUACCUGAACACCUUCUUCCAAUAAUGGACACACUAACAACAUGAACCCUCAGUAAUUUGCAGUGAAUUCCAGGCAUACAAGAACUGGAAUUUUUGUUGUUGCUGAUUCUUUCUAUUUUUUUGUAUUGUUAUUCUGUUGUUAGAAAAAGUUAUUUAAAGUUUCAUGUACAACAAUUUCCAUCUUGCUGGGUAGCUCCUUAUAUUAGUAGGAGUAGUUGGAUGAAUGUUUAGUAGUCCGGCACAUUUCAAUCUCUGCUGCAGUUCGUCCAGGCAAUUUUCUUCCAAUCAAAUGCCAUCUGAGGUUUAAUAAAAAAAAAGGUCAUUAAACUCUCGAAAAACAAUAUUAGUGUGUCGGCUGUAUUAAAUGAUAACUGUGUUCUUGUAUGGUCUUUAAUUUUAGCAUUACAUUUAUUUAGAUUUAGAUUUAUUUAUUAUUUAUUUGUGAUCUAUUUGGUUUCCACUAGGAUUGUUAUUGGUUGCUUGCGUUUAUUUGGAUUGGAUUUAUUUAUAAAUUUCGAGGGAUGACUGUGAUAAAUAGGUUCCCCAAAUUUAUUAUUUAUUGUGAUAGAGUUGGGAGACCAACAACGACAGGUUCGUAUGUCUGUUACAUAUGGGAUAUGGUGGUACAAGAAAUAUAUUGCAUGUUCUUUAAUGAAACCUCUCUGUGUAUGUGAUACAAUAAAGAUUGUUACUGCUUUACCGUUCUUGCUCUAUAAUGUUAUGGCAUAAGAAGUUAUUCUAACUUACUAUGAUCUUUCUGUCAACCAUUGUUACAUUUGUGAUAUUUGAUGGGUGCACUGUCACAAUUGCAUCUAUUAUUUUGAAUGUGCUCAAGAUGGCGAUGUUCCGAUUUGACCGUUAAUCACAGAUUGGAAGACAAUGCGGAAAGGUGUGCAUCUGCUCCAGAAUUUUGUUGUUGUUUACUAUGCUCUUUGGAUGUGCGUAAAUUUGUUAUUUUCAUGACUGCAGAAAAUUAAAGAACAUGUAACUGCAAGUGGAGGCAUGUUGGGAGGCUUAGUAUUGUUGGUGGUCUUAAGGUAUACAAUUAUUUAUUCAUCAAAUUUAGUUAAUACAACACAAUAUGCUUGCUUGAUAACCUGAGCUUACACUUGCUUAUCUGAGAAUGCAGACAACCUGAUUGUAUUGAUCACAGUAGUAUACCUGCUUACAAACUGAUCUAAUUGCUUCAAUUGCAUAUAUGUAAGCAAUUCCUAUUAGGAAAUCGAUUCAACUUACAUCCUAUUAUCAAUUAAUACUUAGGUGUGUUCCAUUUGCUCAUGACUGCAACUUGCUUGACUAAAACACUGAUUCGUUGGGGUUAAAUCCACGUCUGAAAGAUCUCCACAUUUAACCAGUCUGUCACGUGCAACCAAAUCCUGAGAUUCCUGUUCCCUCUUUCUCUUUCCCUCUUCUUUUGCUUUUUCUCAAUCUCUCGCUCUCCCUCUCAUAUCUAAACAUAGGUUUCCAAAUACUGUAUCUCAUCUUGAUUUCUAGAUGGAUUAUAUGUGUUUGAACUUUCCAAUGUUUGUGUUGUAAAAAUAUGUUUUUCCCGCAGGAUUAUGCAACAGAGACACCAUUGUCAUCUUGAGAUGGAAAAUAUCACCUACUACAAUAUAUCAUCAGUCAGUAGUUCUGUUAACAUUUUUGCCCCCCUUGCUUGGCAUAAUAAUGAAGCAUUUUGUAAUAGAAGUUGCUUAUAUUUAUUAAGGCUUUGGUUUUCCAUGGUGUAGGAUCAGGAAAUUGGAAUUUGGUGUCAGCUCAGGGGAAGAGACUUCAAUGGGCAUCUUAUCCUCUGGUAUUAGCUUAGUAAACUUAGCUGCGACUUUCAAUCUCUAUUUUUUCUUCUAUUAAUUUCCCCAAAAUAAUUCCCUCAAAAAGGAGGUCCAACAAACAUAAAAUGGUAGGACUAUUUUCAAUUAACAUAAAUUUUUCUUUUGUUUUUUGAAAGUUGGAUUGAUUACCAAUUCCAUGUUUUUGAACGCUCGGAUUAGUAUUAUGGUAUACUGAACCAAUGUUUGAGUUUGCUUUUGUUUGCUACCAAUGUUUGAGUUUGGCAUUGGAUUGGUUCAGCUCCCUUUUAUGCUAGGUAAGAUUAAUGUAUUAAUAUGAAUAGUUCUUUGGGUUAGCUCUAAUAUCAUGGACUUGCUUUUUUUGGUUAAAUAGUUUAGAAUUGUUUGUCAUAUAACAUAGUCCCUUGUUGGGAGAGAAUUGAGGUAGUUAUGGAUGCUACUUCUUCCACUUAUGCUUAAAUACCAUCUUUACGUCAAUUAAAAUUGCGGACAAGCUCGAUGAGGAUUCGCUUGAAGAGGUUUGUACAUGAAUUUCUUGAUAUUUUUCUUAUUUUUUUAGAUGAACUUUGAAUACCCAUUUGUCGUAAUUCUUGGCGGUAAAUGAUAUCUAUUUAUAUUAAGAUUUUGUUAUUGAUUGAUACCCAGUGUCAUAUUUGUUAUACUACAUUAUGUUUUGUAUUCAUGUAAAAUAGUUUGAUAUUUCUUUGUAGUAGACCAACUCGGGACAAUUGAUGCACUCGCUACGAGGGCUUUUAAAACAGCGGUUUUGAGUUUUGACUAUGUUGGAACAUUUCCUGUUUUGGAUAUGUCUUUCUAGGGUACUGAGUUACCGAUUAAGAAUCUUGAGUUAUUUGAGUCUUUAAAUAGCUUAACCAAAGGUAUUAUCACCUGUUCACCUAAUAUGUUAAGUACUGUCUGAUGCGAUAUGAUAUUAGGAUGUGCUAUAUUAUGGGCCCCCUGAUACAGGGUAAAAAAUCCUAGUGAGUAAUGAUUCAUACUCUGACUUCACCUUUAUCAAAAUUUACAGUUCUGAAUUAGUUCAGAAUAUAUUGGGGAGGGAUUUUGAGUGGUUAUAAAGCUCUUUGUAAUGGGUGUUUAGUUCUUUUUCUACAUCUCUUAAACAGUGCAAUUUUGUUCACGUUAUUGUUUGUUUCUCUAUUCCUUUUUUGCAUGUUAACUGUUAGUAAACUGCAUGCUGUCUUCUUGGCUGAUUAAAACUGCAAAUGCAACUUUUUUUAUUUAUUUGCACCAUAUGUUAGUGGGUCUUGUCACUUGUGUAACAUGUUUUCAUCCAUUGCUUCCAUGAUGAGCAAACCUCAUCCUUAUUUCUGAGACGGUAAAGUCAGAGCAUGACUCGCUCCUCCUCCUGAUAAGUUUCCUUAUCACCUUUGUUUAAGAUAUUAUCUCAAGAUUGGAGAUGAUUUUAUGGCAAUUAUCUGCAGUUCUUAGACAUUUCAGAUUGCUUGAGGAGAAAGUAAGGAAAGGAAUUGGCCAUCAAACGUAAAGGGAUGAUGCUGAUGAUUAUGACACCAUUAUUGGCCCUCAAACGUAAGUUUUCGCCCUUGCUUCCUGCUGAAAAUGAAGCUCACUUGUCUCACUUCCUACUGCUUCUUUGUCUGAUCACGAUGGACGUAUCUUCUUGUUAAUUUUGUAUGCCAUUGUUUACCCAGAGUCCAGAUAAAGCAAUAUACGGUGAGUUUCAAUCAAGGAUAAAUUUGAUCAGUGUGAACCAAGAAACUGGAUUUGGAAGUUCUUACUAUUCACAAGUAUUUUGUUUCUUAUCAGUCCACCUUGAGGCUUGAAUUACUAUGAUUAGCUUAUGGAUAAGCUAGUUACCAGGUUGAGCGAAGUCAAUUCCCAAUGCUUGCAAACUGGGAGCAGGAGUACACAAUCGAAGACAUAUUGAACCGGUUGAAGAAAGAAUGGACAUCUCCAAAUCGAAUAUCGAAAGCUGGAUUGCCCAGCCCCGUGAAGGUGAGUUCCCUGACUAUAUAGUUAUGUUCCUAACUUUGGAGUUAAGUGAUUCAAAUUAGAACUUAAAGAAACACGUCGUUGUCCCAAUUGACCAUUGAGCGACACUAAGUUGCAAUACUGAAGCUGAUCUAUGAUUUAAGGAAUAUAUUAAAAGAUAGUACUUGCUUGUCUCAAAAAGAAAUCUGCAGAUGGAUAAUUGGUCAGUCUAUAUGCCCUGGCUAUAGCAAUAAGUUCCCGGUGACUGCACUAGUUGCCUAUAGGUUAAGUUUUCCUACAAAUUAAUAAACUUAAAAUACCUUGUAGCUAGUCAUAUGGAUCUGAUGUUGUAGAGAGAUGUGCUUGCAGAAAUGAGACGACAUGGAUUGUUUGCACAUAUGUAGACAACCUCGCCUACAGAUAUCUGUUUGUAAUUUUAAGAUUAAGUUAUGUACAUGUCCAUAACGCAUGCGAUAACAUCAAUGAAGGCUUUGUUUGUGGUGUGUGGAAAUUGACAUGUUGUUCCCGUAUAGCUACUUGAUUAAAUUCAGAAAUUUGUAUUCAUAGGACAAAUUAAAACAUACAAUAUAAAGCUGACUAAAUUGAUCAAUGCUGGUGAUGGCAUGGAUAUAGGAUUUUUAUAUCUGUUUGUGUUGGGGUUUAUAGAGUUUGUUCUGAAAAGGGGAGCCGCAGUCCAUGGAUGCUUACCCUUACGAGCAAUAAUUUUCUGCUUACUUGAAGAUAAAUUGAAAUACAAAAUGUUUGCUAGGCUAAACUAAAUUCAACAUAUUCUCUGUGUCCUAUUUUUAACCCACAAACAAAUUUGUUUUACAAACUUACUAAAAUAUCAUCUUGUCAAUUGGCAGGUGUGAAAAGAAGCAGCUACGUGGCUUGGGUCUUAGAAGAAUCAAACUAAUAAAUCGAGCUCUUCGCGGUAAAUUCUUGCUUAGGUUUGGUAGUGAAGACGGCAGCCUUUGGAAGUCAGUAAUAGUCUCAAAAUAUGGGGAGGGUGAUUAUGGUUGGUGGCCGAAGGAUGUUACAGCUUCAUAUGAUACUUUGAUGUGGAAAGGUAUUAUGGAUGUGUAUACAAUAUUCAAAGGGGGUCUCACUUGCAGGUUGGGCAAUGGAGAAAUAAUUCAAUUCUGGAGCUAUAUAUGGAUUGAUGCUAUUCCCUUGAAGGAGAGAUUUCCUGCUAUUUGCAACAUCUCCGAUAACAAACUUGGCACACUGAACAGCAUGAGAACACAAGGGAAAAAUCCAGAAGGGUGGCUUUUAUCAUUGAGGAGGAAUGCAUAUGAUGGAAGCAGGGGAAGCUGACUGAACAGAUUGAUAUGUUAGGUAACGUUGGAUUGAAGAUUAGAGUGAUACUUGGAGAUGGGUGUGGGAAAGGAAUGGGUACUUUACGGUUAAAUCUUUCUAUGAUCAAAUGGUAGAGAUGGAGAGAGAUCAGAAUGUCAUAAUGCAGCCAUUCCCCUAUCAGUUGGUGUGGCCAGCAAGAUUCCAGCUAGUGUAAAAUCUCUUUUUGGUAUACCAUUCCGAACAGGACUCUCACGAAGGAUACUUGAUUCACAGAGGCACUAAUGUUGAUCUGGUUUGCAUUUCAAGUGGAUUGCUGAAUGAAACAAUUUCUCAUCUGUUCCUGCACUAUUCCUUGGCAUUGCAUCUUUGGCAUGAGUUACUGCAGCCUAGAAAAUCAUGCUAUUCUUUGGUGUUAAACAUCUGAUUCAGUGGAGGAACGGUUAAUUGCUUGGCCAAGAGCAAAAGGUCUUCUACCGUAUUCUGUCAUCUAAAAUUUGUGGAAAGUAAGGAAUCAGAAGACCUUUAGGAUCUUAUGGUAUCUGUUGAAAGGUUUUGUGUGGAGGUAAAAACGACAUUAUGGGUGUUGGUCAGGGAGGACGUGUUACUGCUUUGAGGAUGUGAUGAUGCACUGGUUUGAAUUGUUGAAUGGUCUUUUUGUUAGAAACAGUAUAAUGUAUUAAUUUUUUGGAGUUCAAACUAAGCUAGCGGAUUUCUGUAAGUGGUUUUUGAACUGAGGCUGUUUACUUGUUUUAUUAAUUAAUAAAAUGAAUUUUAUCUGGAAAAAAAAAUCUCUUGGAAUAUACUGGAUUAUAGAGUAGAAUUAUGAAGCUGUUAGUUCCUUCACAACUAGGAGUUUUUGCCGCAAGUAGCAGAGUUAAGUAUGGUUGGAAUAAAAUUUAAACUCUAGAAAUAACACCACCUUUAUAAUCCUGGUAGGAAGAAGUGUCUCGCUCAGUCCUUCACUUGUGCUUUCACCAUUAAACCCAAGUGUCGUUAACGCAAUACACAAAAUGUAGUACUCAAGAUUGUAGAUUGUAAGUAGCUUUCAAGAUUGAUACAUGUUCGUUUCUGGAAUUCUGGCAGAUAAUUUUGUUCAUGCAUGAGCAUGACAUGGUGCUUAUCCUUUUUGGGCUAGGUAAGUAGGCUCUGAAGAAAUAAGUUUGAAUUUAAAAGCCCAAUACUGGCAAAAAGAUCUGGUCCAUGGGCUGAAGUUCUUGUGGGUAGUCCACAACCAGAUUCAAUAUGUUGAAUUGUUGGUGUUCUAAACGAAUUAAUUGGCAAAAAAAAAAAAGACUGAAACGAAUGGUUUUGAUGUUCCACGAUUUUAUCGAGAUCUGUGAAAAGUAUGACAAAUACUACACGAACAGACUGACAGACUCACACUUAAACUCAAACACAACGUCGGUCCUUCCAUCUCGAGGGUAUAAAACCAGCAACAACCCAACAACAGUUUUCACCACUCGUUCGUAUCACGGUUUCUCUCCAAAAAAUUUCUAUUAAAUUCGAGAUUCCUUAAGGUAAAUUUUUUUAUUAUUAUUAUUUUUUUUUCACCUAUUGGAUCAGAUAAAUUUGACAAAAAAACAUAUAUGAAUAGUUGAUGUAGUAUAUGAUUUAAAGAGAAUUAUGACUUAUGAUUAGUGUAACAAUUUGAAGUGAAAUAUGAAUAGUUGAUGGAGUAUACAAUUCAUUGUUAAUUAACAAGUUCCAAAUCAUGGAUACUAAAUUUUCAAUUGUUGAUGCAUUGUACAGGAUAUAUUUUUAUGAUUGAUGAACCUUAGUAGUGGGUAGUGUUUUAAUUAUAUCAUAGUCUUAGGCAGCUGCCUUCACAGUUUCUUAUAGAGACUUGUCUCCUUCACAAAGAUUUUUUCCCAAGUUCCUACAACAUUAUAUUCUAAGAUGAAUUUAGCUUUUUAUCUAAUAGCACAGUAGCAAUACCACAUUCCUUUGGGCCUCACAGUCAAGCUAGGUAAACUUAGCAAUAACAACUUUCUUGUAGUUUAGCAUUCUACGUAUCCUGAGUCCUUCUAGUCUAGCAUGUAGUUCAAGAUAGAGGAUAGUUCUUGUGCCAGAAUUUCCACUAUAACUCUAUAAGUACAUAAUACCUCCCUGUGUACAUCCCUUAGCAAUCCAUCAUAUCCUGCUCUUUCAGGUGUCAAACUCAGUUUAAACUUAAACCUUGUACUUCAUCUUUUCUAUUAUUAUGUUUCAAUUGUGUUCUUAUAUUUUGUUUGUUUUUAUUUUUAGUUUAUUACAGGUCGCAUGGAUAUCCAUGAUAUUUCGUGCAUGACAUGGUUUCCUAUCCUUUGUGGUCAGCUACGUCGAUUCUUUGUUCCAAAACACACAAUCAAUAGCCUUCUUCCAAAUAAUAGCUCCAUCCGCCAUAGCUCUCUCUUUUCCGAUGACCAUUGUGAUGAUCCUCGUUAUGACAACAAUUCUCUUCAUGAGACUAGUCUUCUUCACCUCCCAGAUGAUAUUAUCAUAAACAUCUUUAGUAGACUUGAUGGUGAUUGCGCCUUUCAGUGCUCUCGUUUGUGCACAUCACUUUCCACUAUCUUGUCAAGUCCAUAUUUUCUUUCUGGUCAUUGUUUUCGAGCUACCCCAAGCCUUAUUGUUCAAUGUUUUGAAUGGCGACCCAAACAGGGUGAAACUGGUGCCUAUAAGGGUGAUGUCGUUCUUCACAGUAUUGACAUAUCUGGAAACAUUGUGCCAUUAAGAGUGAAAUUCAAUUUGAGCUGUGUGUGGCCUAAGUUUGAUUGCAGGCCUUUCCUUGUUGGUUCGUAUAACGGAUUGCUUCUAUUUGAAAAUAAAAGUGAAUUUCACUCAGCUUUCUUUAUUUGGAAUCCUCUUACCCAAGAAAAAGUUACUCUUAUUCCCCCCGACGCUGAAUAUGAGGUGUGUGGAUUCUACUUCCACCCACCAGCAGGGGAGUAUAGAAUCCUCUACAUGGGUUACCGAAAUUACGAUUGGAAGUAUUUUAUACUUGGCUUGGGCACUAAAUUGUUGAGAGAGAUUUCUAACUUUUCUCUCGUUCCUUGUGCUCGAAGACUACCUCUCAUCUUAAAUGGGGCACUACAUUGGAUAGUUUCUGAGAUUUUUUCAGAUCUUGGAUGUCACACCUCUUCUUCUGCUUUUUGUUCAAAAUUAAUCAUGUUAUUCAAAACUGACAGUGAGGUUUUCGUUACUAUUCCACAUCCCAGAAUUGAAAAUUGCUCAAGUAGAAGACACAGAAUGAUGCAUCUCUUGGAGAUGGAGGGACAAUUAUGUUUAGGUGAUGUUAUAUCACCUACAGAGUUGCAUGUAUGGGUCUUACAAGAAAGAGAAAAGCAGAUCUGGGUUAGAACACACAAAAUCAGUACUAAGUCAAUAGUCCCCAAACAUUUUCAUCAUUUCCAUUUCUUAUCAGUGCCAACUUUGGAAGCUUUGUACAUUUGGAAUGGUAAGUUAUUAUUGAAGACUCUCUCACGGCGGUUAUACUCUUAUCAUCAAAAGUUGAAUACCUUUGUGGCUGUUAAUACAAAUUAUUUUGGAGACAAGAGCUUAACUUCUGUUAUUACUCAUUCUAACAGCAUGGCCUCACUGCAUACAGAUGAAAUUGUUUUUUUUUGCUAAUCUUGAAUUGCAAGAGAUCUAAACGUCUGUCUUUUUUCUUAAUUGAAUUGAAAUGAGCUUUUUAUUAUAGUUGUGGAUUAUUGCUAACAUUGUGAUUGCAGUGUAAACAUUAUGUUAAAUUUACAAGAAUAGCAGGUCUGGUCUGAUUCCUUCAUCGGGUGCCAACAGGAUUGAAAGAAUGAUUCUGAGAUUUCUUAUGGGGCUUGAUGAUUGAGAAUAGGAAGAUGCAUUUAGUUGCAUUGUGCAAAUCUCUUGAAGAGAGAAGAUUGGGUUUGAGAUGGAUGUAGACAUGAACCAUGAUUUUUUUGGAUUAUGAUAAUGGUGCUACGGCAAGGAAGAUAACUGCCUAUUGGAAGUCCAUCAUCACAGCUAACUAUAGACAAGGUUCGUUGUCUUGGUGGGCAAAGAAGGUAACUAGACUGCUGCUACAAGGGUCUAUGGAAAGUAUUGUUACUUUUUUUUUUUUUCCCUCAUUCCAACAUGGUAUUAGGCAUUAGUUUCUCUAUUGGUGAUGGAUCUAAGAUGCACUUUAGGAGUGAUGUAUGGUUUGGGAAUGACGUAUGGUGUUAUCUCUCUUUCUAUGAAUCUUUUCAUGGUUCAUAGAUCGAUGAGUGUAUGUUAAAAGAAGGAAAUGUUCCCGUAGAUGGUUCCAGGAAGUCCUGGAAUCUGCAUAGUGCAACUCUCAGUUUACACCUUAUGUUAUAGAGCUUCUUUAUUAGAUUACUGCAAAAACUUUGCCGAGGAAAGUCUGAAUUACUACUGCUCGCAAUUCUCACUCUAAAAUUAAGCAGUGAUGAUGUAAAAACUGAAAACUACUAGCAACCUCUAGAGUACCAUCCCUUUUUGUAUUUUGAGCAGCCUAUAGAGUACUUUCCCUUUCAUUUCUUUUAUCAUUAGCCUCUGCACUAGUAUCCUCCCAUUCCCUCCUAUUUUUCACUAGUUAGUAGUUACUCCCGAACCUUCCCCAAGAAAGAACAACACCAAUAUCCCAAAAGAUGUUACACCUACAAUAUUAGCAGCAGUUACAGCUACUUCACGGCUCAACAUUUCGCAACUAUCAUCCAAAUGAUACAUUGUUGUGCUAAAACCAAUAAAAAUGGUUAUCGUUAGCAGAAAAAUGGUCAACGCGUCAGCUGUUUUUGGCGUCGAGUCUUUAUCAAUCUUUCUGUUAAACCUUUCAAGGCAAUGUCAAUGCAAAAUUUUAACAAGUUUUAACAAAAUUCUCAGCCAAUGCAAACUUUUAGUUAGGUUUUAGUGUUGUUAGUUUUAAGUCGGUGUAUAUAUAUACACACCGACUUAAAACUGACAAGGUGUACUUUAUAAAGUUAUCCGCCAGAAACUGUGGCGGAUAAAUUCAAAAAUUAUAUAAAAUUAUAACUUAUCUGCCCGAAAUUGUGGCAGUUAAGCUUAUCCGCCAAAAACACUCUAGUUGUUAAGCUUAUCCGCCAGAAACUCUGGCGGAUAAGCAUCUAACAUGUUCAAUUUUUGCAGAACUGGAUUGGCUCCCCUAAAAACCUUCUGCAGAUUUUAACCUUCAAAAAGUCAAAAGCACCUUCCCUCAUCUUAUGUAGAGGGUCUUUCUCCAAAUUUUUUUUCAGUGAUGGAAGAUCCUUUUCAAAUUGAUUCAUCUUGACAGUGGUCAUAUCAACUUUUUUAACUUCAACAUUGGGAGGGAAGAAUGAAAUGCGGAUUUGGGUUUUUAAUUGGGCCUUUGUUAAGUAUGAAUUCGGACGCCCAACACUAGAGGAUCCACGAUCCAGUAUCAAAGUCAAACAAAUGGUUUUGACUUUUUUGAAGAAGGAAUCUGACUAAAACUCUCAAUCUAAGUAUCUCAGUAUCUGACUCAAACUCAACCACUGUCUUCUGCAUCUCGAGGAUAUAAGCAGCAAACAGCCUCGUAAGUCGUAACACUCCAUCUCUCUCAAAAAAAAAAAAAAAAAAAAAUUCCUGGAUUCGAAUUCGCUUAAGGUAACAGUAAUUUUUUUUUUUUAUGCUAUUGAAUGAAAUAGUUGCCUUUUGAAAGAAAAGAAAAAGUUUGAAUUGUUGAUGUAUAUUAUAUGAUAUAUAAGUAAUUGUCAAUUAAAUAGUUACCUUAUAACUUUAUUUUUUUUGGUUUAUGUACAGGUUGCAUGAAUGAUGGAUAUUGAUAUUUCCUGCAUGACAUGGCUUCCUAUCCUUUGUGGUCAGAUACGUCGACUCUUUGUUCCAAAACACACUAGUAAUUAUAGUCUUUUUCUUCUCCUCCCAGAUGAUAUUAUCAUAAACAUCUUAAGUAGACUUGAUGCUGUGUGUGCCUUUCAUUGUUCACGUUUGUGCAAAUCAAUUUCCACUAUCUUGUCAAGUCCAUAUUUUCUUUCUGCUCAUUGUUUUCAAUCUGCCUUUAUCGUUCAAUUUUUUGAAAGACUACCCAUACAUGAUACAAGCGGUGUCUAUGGGUGUGAAAUAGUCCUUCACUGUGCUGGCCUAUCUGGAAACACUGCGGCAUUAAGGAUGAAAGUCAAAUCGAGCUAUGUGUUUUCUGAUUUUGAUUGCAGGCCCUUACUUUUUGGUUCGUACAAUGGAUUCCUUCUAUUCCGUAACCAUAGUCUAUCUCACUCAGCUUUCUUUAUUUGGAAUCCUCUUACCCAAGAACAAGUUACUCUUCUUUCUCCAAAUCUUGUUUAUUAUAUGUGUGGACUAUACUUCCACUCAUCAACAGAGGAGUAUAGAGUCAUCUUUAUGUGUGGCACAAGGUUUUUUCUACUUAGUUUGGGCACAAAGUUGUUGAGAGAAAUUCCCAACUGUCCACAAUUUCCUUGUAAUCGUAGACCACCUGUCAUCGUUAAAGGGGCACUACAUUGGAAAGUUGCUUUUUGGACCUCUUCUUUCUGUUCAAAUUUCAUCUUGGUAUUUAAAGUUGACUCUGAGGUUUUCACUACUAUUCCACACCCAAGAAUUGAAAAUUGCUCAGAUAAAAGGCACAGAAUGAUGCAUCUCUUGGACAUGAAGGGGAAUUUAUGUCUAUGUGAUGUUAUAUCACCUACAGAUUUACACGUAUGGGUUUUACAUGAAAAGCUGGUCUGGGUAAGGAUGCACAAAAUCAGCACCGAGUCAGUAUCUCCCAACGUAUUCCAUGAUCGUGACUGGUACUCACUGCCAACUUUGGAAGCUUUGUACAUCCAGAAUGAUGAAUUAUUAUUGAAGCCUUACAUGCCGCCAUUAUAUUCUUAUCAUCUAAAACAUAACACCUUCAUGGCUAUUGCUGCAAAUUAUUUUGCAAACAUGACCUCAACAUAUGCUGUUGUUCAUUCUAAUAGCAUGGCCUCUCUUCAUACAGAUGAAAUUAUUAUUAUGGAUAAUCUUAAAUUGCAAGAGUUGUAAAUGUCAUCAUUUUGUUAACGAAAUUAAUUUGGAUGCGCCUUGUUUUAUAAAGGGGGACUAUACCUGACAUUGAUUGUUAUUGUUUUAUGUUAACUUUCAUGUAGCUGCUUAGUGUACUUGUGUCUUAUUACAGGUAUAGAGCAUCUAGAUGUGUUUGAUUAUAACUACUUUGCAACUUCCUGUGUUACUUUAACUUUGUCAUGUGUUUUAAGUUGUCUUCUAAAACAUUGAACAAGUAAACUUGGUCAAUCGCACAGAAUUGAAUAGAAAAUUAUAAUGGAUUAGUGGCAACACCAGAACUUUUCACUCAGAUAUUCAAUACAAAAAAGCCAAUGACCAAUUGCAGCGUGGAUUUUAUUUUCUUAGAAAAUUAUCAUGGAGUUGCUGAUUUUGGUGAAUUUCAGACUUUUAAAUAACACUCACAUGUUUAAGGAGGGUUGGAGGUAGUUAUGAGUGCAGUUCCUACUUCAGAUCUCCUAUUAGCUUUUGUGAGGCCACUUACACUUAUCCUUGUUACUGUCUUUACUUCAAUUGAAAUUGCUGACAAGCUCGAUGAGGAUUACCUUGAAGAGGUUUGUGAUUUAGCAAUUGCUAGCUAUUCUUAGCUAAUCUUUGUUAUACUAAAUUAUGUUUUAUAUUAUUGUAAAACUCUUAUUGGCAUUUCCUUCUAGGUUAUUGAAUUGCCAACCAAACAGAGCUGUUUAAGAGUCCUCAAAUAGCUCAAUCAAAGGUAAUAUCUCCUGUUCAUAUUAUUUUGGUAUGCUUGUCUAAUUCCUCGAUGCUUCCAAAUAACCUACACAUUCCAAUACAUUUAUUUUGUCUAAUAUGAUAGGAUAUUAGGACGUACUAUUUUACAGGCCGCUUGGUGCAGGGGAAAUAUUGCUAAUGACAGCAGUGGUUCAUUUUCUGACUGCACCAUUAUCAAAAUAUACGGUUCUGAAUUAGUUCGGAAAUAUAUUGUGCAGGGAUCUAGAGUGCUCACAGAGCUCUUUUGGAAUGGGAAGUUUUAAUUCUUUUUCUACAUCAUAUGUAAUUGUUUAUUUCUCUAUUCCUUUUUUUUCCCUGCUAAGUAAACUGCAUGUUGCAUCUUCUUGGCUUUUUCAAACCGCAAAUGCAAUUUUUUUCUGUUUAAUUACCCCAUAGGUUAAUGGGUCUCGUGUUGCAUGUUUUCAUUUAUUGCUUCCAUAGUUCCAUGAUGCAAACCUCAUCAUUAUUUCUCCUCUUGCAAACUUUCAUUACCAUGUUUGUUCAUCUAGCUUUUGUUCUCCUGAUUUUACAUCAUUGUUUUAUUCUUUAAACGUAAACAUGUCCCAUCAAUAUUAUUGCAUCAACCGAGUAGCCACUUUCCACUUUUGGUUACAGCAGCCACAAUUGCUACGACAAUUGUUUUCUGUAAGCUUGAAGUUGUAAGUUUAUUACUGACAUCUUGACACUACCUAGACCUAGGCAGCAAAAUCUUAUAUGGAAAAUUGUUGCGUGUGUAACCAACUCAAAUUUAUCUCGAGUUUGGAGGUGAUAUUUAUGGAUAGUGUCUGCAGUUCCUAGAAAUUUCGGAUUGCUUAAGGAGGUUGAAAAUUGGCCGAGGAUCUGUCAGGUAUGGAUUACUUGAAAAUUGGCCGAGGAUCUGUCAGGUAUGGAUUACACACAGGCGAUAGCGUAGUGGUUGCCCUCCAAAUGUAAGUUUUCUCGCACAUGCACAUUCAUAGGUCUUCUAAUAUUAUGAGAUAGAUUCCCCAUCUGUCGUCUCCAUCAACCAUUUUUAUGCUGAAAUUGAACCUCAGGUGUCUUACUUCCUGCUGCUUCUUUGGACUGAUGGUGAUGGACGUAUCUCCUAGUUGAAAUUUUCUGUGACAUAGAUUACCUAGAUUCCACACCUACACUAUUUUUCUAGAGAGAUGCGGCUGAAAAUGAUUUUUGCACAAAUGAUCACCUUAAACAACAGUAGUGAAUAACUUACUGCUCUUCGAACUAGGACUGAAUAAGGGUCGAUGUACAUGCAGGUAAUGAAGAGCAAGUGGAUGAAAAGAGCCCGGUGUUGAAAUUUUGUUUUCUUUGGCUAGGCCAAGAUGAGGAAACGUGCAGUAUUUGUACAUAUGUAGAGAAACCCGCCUACUGAGCUCUGUGUGCAAUUGGUAAGAGUUAGUUAUGUAUAUGUCCAUUAAUGCAUGCCAUAGCAUCAAUAGAUGUAUACUCUUUAUGUUUCAGGGAAAUGGACAUGAAGUUCAGUACUACUAGCUAGUUAAUUAAAUGUGGAAACUUGCUUUGUUUGGACAACCACCUUUAUUAUCAGUAGCAAGGGAUACAGGAGCAUCAUCAGAACAGGGCAGCAGAUUUCUGUCAAUCAGUAUGGUCUGGUAGAGGCUUUUUGUUAUUAGAAUAUGUACUUUAUUGGACUUUGUAUAGGGUCUGUUUACACUUUAAUCAUUAGAGUCCAUUCACCUGACGGGGUUUGUUAACAGUUAACACCCGCUGUUCAGGAUUGUAACUUGGGUUUGCGAUGAUUAAUAACAUAUCUGUUUGAUUCUAAGAACAUUGUAUAUUUUGUCUCUUGACAAGCACAAAGAAUUACAAACUUUCCAAAAACUACAAUCCGACAUCUAAGAUGCUUUAACACAAUAAGCACAAUAUACAAAAAAAAUGAACAUAAUAGCAGAGAUGGAAGCUGCUAUGGUUGGAACCGUAAAUGAACUGUGCAGGUACCAACACCGUAUUCCUCCUCCACAACACCCCUUCCCCCCUUCACUUUCAUCCCUUCUUUCGUUGCUACCUACCAAUGUGAGUAGCGCCAUCAAGGUAAACGAAACCACACCAACAAUGCUUAUUAUCAUUAUUGGAAUUAUAUACGGCAGCAUAGUACAUGUGUUGGCCAUGUAAAUAGUUGAAUUAUACCCCGCGAAAACAGUUAUUGCAACAAGAAGAAUGGUUAAUGCACUAACCCUUCUCUUGUCAGGAGCCUCCUUGUCUACAUUGUUCUCAAGCAAUUUGAUGCUUUUCUCAACUUGAUCCAGCUUUUUUACAUUGUUCUCAAGCAAUUUGAUGCUUUUCUCAACUUCAUCUAGCCUUUUUACGUCUUGCUUGACUUGACCCAAUCUUUUGUCCAAUCCAUCUUCGACAUCAGUAGUGUAUUUCCAUCCUAGUUUCCAUACAUUGAUAUCGUAAUAAAACACUAUCUUUAUAAAACAAAAUGGAUAAUCAUAAUAAAAAGUAAAGUAAUAGAAAAUCUAAAAGUAAUUUUAGAGUGUUUUUAGUUACUCUACCUAACAAUAUUUGGUUCGUUGAUACCCAAAGAUUCCUCAACAUUUGAUUCUUGAACAGAAAAACCACCCAAUUCUUGGUUGGGGGUUCUGGCAUUUGUUGGUAUGGGUGGUUGUGGUGUUGAAAAAGAUGAAGGGGUGGUGGUGGAGUUGAAGUGAUGGUAGGGUUUAAGUGGUGGUUCUUGUGCUAAAACAUUAGUUUGCCCUUUAAACAAUGAAUCUGUUUGUUCCUUGCUUUCCUUCUGUAGCAGUGGUGUAUGAAGAUCAUCACUUAAAGAAGGUUUUGCAGGUGUAGGUGGUUUGAAGAAAGAGUGGGAGGGUUUUGGUGUUGAAGAAGAUGGGUUUUCUUUCAUAUCUAUCAAUGUUGCUUGUAGAUUUGAUGUUGAUCGUUGGAACGUGGAUCGUUCUUGAAGAGAUAGUGGUGGUGUUGUUGUUGAAGAAGUAAUAGAAGAAGAUGGGUUUUCUUCAACAAUUGAUCUUCUUUCUUGAUCAGAAAAACCACCCAAUUCUUGAUUGUGGGUUUUGGUUGCUAUGGGUGGUUGUAGUGUUGAAGAAGAUGAAGAGGUGGUGGUGGAGUUGAAGUGAUGGUAGGGUUUAAGUGGUGGUUCUUGUGCUAAAACAUUAGUUUGCCCUGUAAACAAUGAAUCUGUUUGUUCUUGAAGAGAUAGUGGUGGUGGUGUUGGUGAUGAUGAUGAUGGGGGUGUUAAGCUUUCUUCUUUAUUUCUUAGUUCUUGAAUAAGUGGUGGUGGUAGUGUGGGUGGUGGUGGUGGUGGUGAUGGUGAUGGUGAUGGUGGUGGUGGUGGUAGUGAUGAUGGUGGUGAUGGUGAUGGUGGUGAAGAAGUAGUUAUGGAAGCUAUCAUUGGUGAAAAAAAUCAAGCAAGCAGAGAGCAGAGAGAGAGAGAGAGAGAUAGAGAGAGGGAUUUUGAUUUAAAGUCUGGAGCUUUAUAGUUUAUAUAGAGUGACUACUGAGAAGAGAGAACUUUCUAAUCUCUGAGAACGUAGAAGCCCAAGUAAAAGGCCCAAUUAUGGAUUUGCACCUCUUCAUCCCCCCACAAGGCCACAAGUACUGUAAGUUAACAAGGAAUUUGUUUCUUCUUCCAUUAUCUCUCUUCCUCUCCUCCUUCUAAAUCUAAAUCUAAGGACUACAAUCCAUCUAUAUACAAUACCCUUUUUCUAGCUAGGUAAGCAUUUCUCUUCUUUGUACUCUGUUGUAUUGGAUUUCAGUAUCUGGGUUUGAUUCAGUUUCUUAUUUUCACAUGUUUGUACUGCGAGAUUUUGAGUUACAUUUGAGAAAAAGUUUCAAACUUUACACAUUAUAUCCAUCUUAUAUUCUUAUGAGUAUUCCCUCGAUAAAAAGUUGAAUUUAGGGUACUUACUGGUUUUUAAUUUUAGGUAAUCUCUUGGAUUGUUACAGAAUAAGCAAAGUUGGCAAGAAUGAGAAAGGAAUUCACUUACGUUUUCUUUGUGCAACUAUAUAUUACUCUUUGACUGAAGUGAAUUUUCAUAGCCUUACCUACAUUUGUGUCAUUGUGUGCGAGUGUGAGUGUGUGUGUGUGUGUGUUUUUUUUUUUUUUGCAUAGGCCAUUUCUCCCACUUACAUUUUUCAUUCUUAAUCUGGAUAGACAUCUAUCCAGAUUAUGUCACCAUGUGGUUUUUCAGGAACAGACAUAUACGACAAUUAUAGAUCGUUUAAAACCAAUAAUGUUGUUUAGGUCGAUAAUCCUAUACUUCUUAAAUUGUUGGCUGUCAAUACCAGAUUUCAACCUCAGUUCAGUUAUAAUGAGAACGAGUCAUCACAAUUAGUGCUCCCACUGAAUUUUCUCAACUCCCGUCCAAUUACAAUAUACAACUUUGAAGGUUCAGUUCUGCAUUUAUCUUGUACUUGAUAAAUUUGUAAUGGCUCUUUAUUGUUUUGCAAGGAGAGAAUUUGACUAUGUAGCACAACACCGAAAUCUGAGUGAACACAAACACAUUCUGAAAUGAGACAAGGUACUUGCGUUGUUGUUUUAUUCAAAAAAUAUCUAUUUAGGACGAAGGCUUCAAAUUUCAUUUUGUUUUUCAAUAGACUUGAUUAAGUUUGUCAACUAUUUGGUCGUUGAUGGUCUUAAUCCACAGUAUUUGAUGUUUGCCAAUUUCGAGGACUAUUGAUAUCAUGUUAGGACACUUAGGUCUAUACUGAAUUAAAUAAACAUUGUCCAAAUCCUUUUUCUUAUACGUUCUAUUGGACAAAUAAGAUCAUAGUACCUUUCUGCACCUAACAUUUCAAAACCAUUCUCUCAACCACUAUUAAUUUUGUUGUAGUUCAACUUAUGGUCUCUACACUUACACUAUGAAUAUAACUCCUCUUAUUCCUACUAAUACAUAUAAUAUUCCGCUAAUUGUUCAGAGGCUAAACUGUUCUUGGAUUAUUAACAGUUGGAAUUCCUGCUCAGAAGAUGUCAAUCUUAUUUGCACAGAUUCCAUACAAAUAUCAGGUACUUCUUCUAUUCUCAACCUGUUUCAUUCCUAUAUAGUGCAAAUUUAAAAAUGUUUCCUGAUUGAGGGCUAAUAACAAAACCAGUUCCCGGUAAACAAAACAUUCCCCUGGAUUUAAGUUUAGUCUUACACCUGUUUCUCUAUGUUUGUUGCUCUGCCCAUUUGAUGAUCACUUUUAGUAGAUUCGUGUAUAAUAUGCAACCUGUCAUUUUCAUUUUGUAAUCACGUCAGUACAAAACCAACUUUCUGACACAUAAAGGAGAAAUACGCUGGCCUCAAAGUAUGUCCACGACCAUCUAAUCUGUACUGUUGUAUAGCCUGGAAGUAGGUUCAGAUUGUGUAACAAACAAAUACAUUAAACUGACCUCUGUUCAUCUAACCGAAACCACCCAAUCUGUAGUAUAUGUUGCAUGUCCUGCAACUAGGUUCAUCUUUUGGAUGUGUAUCUUAAAUUUAACUAUUUUUUUUUUGGUUGGCUUAAAUUUAACUAUUAUACAUUCCUUCCCUUACAAUUUCACCAGAUAUUUUGAUUUUCUCAUUAAUGCUCUCUUCUAGAUUCUGAUCCUGUUUUGAUUGUGAACGUUGUGCACUUCGUCUUUUCAACAUUUGUUUCUCAUUCUCAAAACCCUCAUUAAUGAUAAAGAGUUCGCUAUAAAACCGUACGAAAGAAUAGAGAUUUAUAUACAGAAGGAAACCCUCAAGUAUAACUUCCUUCGUAUUACAAUGGUUAAGUUAGGUUAGUUGUUUUCUGGUCAAAUUAUAAGAAGUACUUUUGCUGCUAUCAAAAUAGGGUAGUUACAAUCAUCAACUUAUAGUAGUCAAAGGGCAACAACAAAACCAGCUGCAGAGAGGAGACCUUCACGAAGGCCAGGUUGCUAUUGGGGGAUAACUGGUGUUCUUUCUUAUAUUUGUUAUUUCAUAAACCUUCAUUGCAAAUUGCUAUGAAGCACGGACACCCCUCUUAAUCUCACGCACCGGUGUCGGACACGUGUCGGACACCGACACUCUCCGGACACCUUAGGACACGUGUCCGACACUUCAAAUCAAGUGUCUUACUUCAAAAAACCAAAUUUUCAAAUUUGGACACUGCCGGACACUUUCGGACACUGCUGGACACUGCCGGACACUGCAUCUGGACACCUUGGCUUAAGGAUUACUUUGUAAUUUUAGCUUUUUACAAUGGGCAAGAAGAUAUUACUUAAGAUUGCGAGAGGCAUAAACUAAUCAAAAUAGAAUUGGGUCAGGAAUAGAAUAAACAAACUAAAAGGUCUCUACUUCUCCAGAAACUUCUCUCUCAAGUCUCACCUACUUUCUCUUCAUCUUCCUUCAAUAUCAAUGGUUAUUCUCUCUCUAAGUUUGCUUCUCUUGUAUUCUUCAUUUUUCUCAAUACUUUGUUGCUUCUCUUAUCAAAUGAACUUUGACAAAUGACAAUGCCACAUUGUUAUUUGUACACUAUAUUGUUAUCUUCUAUAUGAAAAAUAUUGUAUGCUAGAAAAAAAUAAAAAUUAGAUGUAUAUUAUAACGUGUCGGUGUCCUACAUUUUCACAAAAUUACGUGUCGGCGUGUCCGUAUCGUGUCGUGUCCGUGUCCGGUGUCGGUGUCCGUGCUUCAUAGGCAAAUUGUGUGCCUCCAAUUUAUGCAAGCUUGUUGCUGGUUUUAUUGAAUAGAGGCUUAGUUGUAUUUAGGCUUUUACAAUUAUUUCUCUCUCAAGAGAGGUUUAAUUGUAAUUACUGAUUUACAAUUGCUCCUUUAUUUUGAUUUCUUCAUCGGAUGGAGUUUUUCUCUGUGUUGUGAGCUUUCCAUUGAUAUUUAUUAUUCAUCGAAAUAGUGAUAUUUCUCUCCCAAAUUUUAAAUUGCAAAUAUUAUCCACUAAUAGUGAUUGACAACAAAUAAAAUAUUUUUGAGGCAUGGUUUUAUGGAGUGGAAUUUUUACUUUUACUAAGAACGUUUUUUUAUAGAGCCUUCCACAUCUGUUCUCGGAAACAUAACAAAUUAACAUACUUAUUCCUCUGCUGCUGUGGUUUGAUUUCUUUAGCUUGCUGCUGCUGUGGUUUGGCUUCUCUCUUUGGCAUUUUUACUAAGGUUAGUUCGACUUUUCCUUUUUUUUUUUUUAGUUUGUAGGUUGUGGACUGAUAAAGCAGUGUCUUUACCAGGGAUUACUAAGUAUGUUAGAUUGGUACCACCAAUCCAUUCUUGAAUGAUUUGUGAUUGUCUACCUGAACAUCUUCUUCCAAUAAUGGACACACUAACAACAUGAACCCUCAGUAUUUUGCAAUGCAUUCCGGGCAUACAAGAACUGGAAUUUUUGUUCUUGCUGAUUCUUUCUAUGUUUUUGUAUCGUUAUUCUGUUGUUAGAAAAAGUUAUUUAAAGUUUCAUGUACAACAAUUUCCAUCUUGCUGGGUAGCUCCUUAUAUUAUUAGGAGUAGUUGGAUGAAUGUUUAGUAGUCCGGCACAUUUCAAUCUCUGCCGCAGUUCGUCCAGGCAAUUUUCUUCCAAUCAAAUGCCAUCUGAGCUUUAAUAAAAAAAAGGUCAUUAAACUCUCGAAAAACAAUAUUAGUGUGUCGGCUUUAUUAAAUGAUAACUGUGUUCUUGUAUGGUCUUUAAUCUUAGCAUUACAUUUAUUUAGAUUUAGAUUUAUUUAUUAUUUAUUUGUGAUCUAUUUGGUUUCCACUAGGGUUGUUAUUGGUUGCUUUACGUUUAUUUGGAUUUGGAUGUAUUUGUAAAUUCAAAGGGAUGACUGAUAAAAUAGGUUCCCUAAAAUUGGUGUUUUGUUUUCCCCCUUUGUGGCAGUUCUCUAAUAUUUAUGGUUGUGGGUUACAGUGGAAAUGUCUUGGUUUGAUUAUUGUGAUGGAGUUGGGAGACCAACAACGGCAGGUUCGUAUGUCUGUAACAUAUGGGAUAUGGUGGUUGAUGUAUAUUUAUUGUACAAGAAAUAUAUUGCGUGUUCUUUAAUGAAACCUCUGUGUAUGUGAUAUAAUAAAGAUUGUUACUGCUUUACCGUUCUUGCUCUAUAAUGUUGGCCCUGCUUGGUUACCCCGCAAAAAUUUGCAUAAAAUUUAGCCUAAUUUAAUAUGCUUGAAACUCUUGAUAAUUAGUUUUAUGAACAAAAUUUAUGCAAAAGUUUUGUGCAAAAAUUUUACACCUUUCUUUAAUAAACUUAGUAGGGGACCAUU